CGGACGGGUGAGUAACGCGUGAGGGAUGACGGCCUAUGGGUUGUAAACCUCUUUUUUCAGGGAGGAAUCAAAUGACGCGUACCUGAAGAAUAAGCAUCGGCUAACUCCGUGCCAGCAGCCGCGGUAAGACGGAGGAUGCAAGUGUUAUCCGGAAUCACUGGGCGUAAAGCGUCUGUAGGUGGUCCAAUAAGUCAACUGUUAAAUCUUGAGGCUCAACCUCAAAAUCGCAGUCGAAACUAUUAGACUAGAGUAUAGUAGGGGUAAAGGGAAUUUCCAGUGGAGCGGUGAAAUGCGUAGAGAUUGGAAAGAACACCGAUGGCGAAGGCACUUUACUGGGCUAUUACUAACACUCAGAGACGAAAGCUAGGGUAGCAAAUGGGAUUAGAUACCCCAGUAGUC
rnacentral:rRNA from 1 species